GGCAGCAUGGCCGAGUGGUCUAAGGCGCUGGAAUUAGGUACUUCCUAUUCAUCCAGUCCGAAAGGGCGUGGGUUCGAACCCCACUGCUGUCA